rnacentral:lncRNA from 10 species
GAUAAACUGUAAUUAUUUUUUCAACUGAUCUGAGGGCAAUGAGUAAAAGCUGCUCACCCAGCAGCUUUCUCACACAUUCCUCUUCUGGUUCCUUUAGGGGAACUUCUUAUCCAUUCCAUGUAAGACUAGCGGAGAUUUUAAAUCACUAAUGUCAAUGGGGUAGGCAUAAGACCCAAGCUGGGGGCAAUAAAAUGUGCCAAACAGGAGAACAGUGUUAAAUAAUAAGAUUGAAAACUGAAAUUGGAAAAAGUCCAACCCUUACAGGUGGUUAGGAGAAGGGUACUAGGAAAGGAGUCAGCCAAAGAAAGUACGACCAGUAAGAUUAGAAGUGGAUGAUGUCAUGGGAACCAGGAGAAGAGAGU